rnacentral:snRNA from 1 species
GGAUGUGAGGGCGAUCUGGCUGUGACAUCUAUCACCCCGUUGAUCAUCAGGGUUGAUUGGGCUGAUGUGGCUGCCUGGGCUGUGUUCCUUUCCUCCCUCACUGCUGCAUGUGUGUCCCUCUUGAAGCAGCCUGUUUGGUUGAAGAGGACCACCUUCCUCAGUAGAGGAAGACCAUUCUUUGGUCAAGGGUACGUGAGUAUGUGAGUAGCUACGCUCCCCUGCUAGAACUUUCAAACAAGCUCUCGGGGUCCAUUUGUAGGAGAAUAUAGGGUAGUCAAGCUUCCAAGACUCCCGACACAUCCAAGUGAGGCAUUGAACUUGGCAGUCUGCCUUUCU